rnacentral:rRNA from 1 species
CCUACGGGAGGCAGCAGUAGGGAAUCUUCCACAAUGGGCGCAAGCCUGAUGGAGCAACACCGCGUAAGUGAAGAAGGGUUUAGGCUCGUAAAGCUCUGUUGUUGGGGAAGAACGUGCGUGAGAGUAACUGUUCACGCAGUGACGGUAUCCAACCAGCAAGUCACGGCUAACUACGGGCCAGCAGCCGCGGUAAUACGUAGGUGGCAAGCGUUAUACGGAUUUAUUGGGCGUAAAGCGUGCGCAGGCGGUUGCAUAGGUGUGAUGGGAAAGCCUUGGGCUUAACCGAAGAAGUGCAUCGGAAACCGGGCGACUUGAGUGCAGAAGAGGACAGUGGAACUCGAGGUGUAGCGGUGGAAUGCGUAGAUAUAUGGAAGAACACCAGUGGCGAAGGCGGCUGUCUGGUCUGCAACUGACGCUGAGGCUCGAAAGCAUGGGUAGCGAACAGGAUUAGAUACCCGAGUAGUC